GACGAACGCUGGCGGCGUGCUUAACACAUGCAAGUCGAGCGGUAAGGCUCCUUCGGGAGUACACGAGCGGCGAACGGGUGAGUAACACGUGAGCAAUCUGCCCUUCUCAUCGGAAUAACCAUUGGAAACGAUGGCUAAUGCCGAAUAUGACCUCGGAUCACAUGUUCUGAGGUGGAAAGCUCCGGCGGAGAAGGAUGAGC
rnacentral:rRNA from 1 species